ensembl:lncRNA
CAAAUAGAGAGCAAGAAGAGAAAAGUACACCUGGGGAGGUAGGGACAGGGACAGGGGAGAGAAGGAGAGAGGCAGCCUCCAUAAAAGAAGCAGUUUCCAGAAACAGAAGCUUGAGACAUUUCCAGUAUACGUCCUUUGCUGAGAAUCAACACUACCCUUAAAUCUGAGUUAUCCCAUGAACCCUUUUAUCUGUUUUUUGUUCAAGCUGACUGAAGUUGUUUUAUGUUAAUUGCAGCCAAAUAUUCCUGAAUCAUGGGAUGAGAGAGAGAGAAAGAGAAUUGUAUAAGAAACCAGAGAGAAAUAAAGUACUAAUUUGAUGCUGACUUAACUGGCAGCCUUUACAAAAGAAAGAAAAAUAAUAGACCGGAUAAUACUUCUCACCUCAUACAAGGCAGAAAGAUGUUUUGGGAGAAGUAGAGAAUUCAAGACAACAUUUGAGUAAGCAUGUGAAAAUGCCUCUCAAAUGGAUCCAGUAGAUUUUGGAAGGGAUGUGUCCAUGGAGACUCUUCAAGUUGAGAAUGUGUCUAACCUACCUUGUAUUUGUCAAUAGGGUCUAACUCAGUAACUGGCACAGAGUAGGUACUCGCCCCAGAUCUCAAGCGUAACAGGAAAUAUGGACUAAAACAAAGUCUAUCUUCAAAGCUUUUAGCACCAUAUCUGUACCAUGGGAAAGGAAACAUUUGAUAAAGGAAUUAGAACAGAAAUCGUAACGGAUUCGGCGGAACAAGGGAAGUUUCAGUUCUGCCUGGUUACCUUCCAAGGUCACUCUGAACUUUGCAAACUUCAUUUAAUCUGCAGAAUUACCUUGUAGCAGGAAAUGUAAAAUAUUGGCUGCAAGAAGAAAUAAAAUCCAUGACAAUGGACUAAUAUCAUCUGUGAUGCCCACUCACUUCUACGUGGCAUGUGAGAACCAAUGCAUCUAUCUGCCUCAAUUAUACAGACACAGAUGUGGGGGCUUUACUGUCAUCUUCUGUGCCCAAGUGGCAGUAAAAAUUAAUGGAAUGCGUUAUCAUUUUAAACUACCAUCAGUUGCCACGUGACCAUGAAAUAAAGGCAUUGGCAGUCAGAGGCAGCUAUGCAACCAGGAAAUUAUAGACAAGCAAGAGGAAGUGCUGAGUGAGACUUGACCUUGGAAUUUAAGAUUUUUUUUAAUAAAUCAAAAAGUUUUCUGUCCAUUUAUUUCCACUAAUGGUGUUAAGCAGUUGUGUCAAAUACAUAGGUUUAAUCUAAUCCUGUUGUACUCUGUGAUCAUUUAAUCUUCAAAACCUCUUUACAAAACUGCCAUGAGAUUCCAAUUUUCUUUACCGAGCAAAUCCAUUUUAACCCAGCUGGGGAAACUCACAUUGACGGGAACAGGUUCUUUUUGAUCCUGACUGGGCAAGUUAGGUAACAGUGAGACAAGCGGAAGUGUCAAUGGCAAAUCUCCCGUUCUCCACCUUUAACUGUAAGUGUCACAGGAUGGCCAUUAUUAACAACUUACUUGAAAUUGGAAACCAUCUAAAACUGGAUUGAAAUGGAUAAUGAAAAAAUUAAAUAUAUUUUUGUGUAGAUCACUUCAUAAAAGGACUUUGGCACAUCGAUGGAGACAUUAUGGUAAAUCCUGCUU